GGGAUCGUACAAGUGCGCUUGUAAGCUCGGAUACACCGUUAAUUCCAGGGGCAAUUCCCGUUGUCAGGAUGUUAACGAGUGCUUGAACCAGAACGGUGGAUGCAACGGAGACUGCGUUAAUACACCUGGAAGUUUUUACUGCGCUUGCAGCGACGAUUUGAUAUUAGAUACAAACCAGAGAACGUGCGUACCGCGAGUAUCGAGAUGCCGAGCCAUGGAGGUUCCGCGCAACGCCGAGGUCAGAUGUCCCGGUCACCCUUCCGGUGCUUUGGAUUACCCGCAGGGGGCGAGGUGUCACGUAAGAUGCAGACGAGGGUUUAAAUUGGAG
rnacentral:misc_RNA from 1 species